rnacentral:rRNA from 1 species
AUUGAACGCUGGCGGCAUGCUUUACACAUGCAAGUCGAGCGGCAGCGCGGGGGGCAACCCUGGCGGCGAGCGGCGAACGGGUGAGUAAUGCAUCGGAACGUACCCUGGAGUGGGGGAUAACGCCGCGAAAGCGGCGCUAAUACCGCAUAUGCUCUGAGGAGGAAAGUGGGGGACCGCAAGGCCUCACGCUCUGGGAGCGGCCGAUGUCCGAUUAGCUAGUUGGUGAGGUAAAGGCUUACCAAGGCGACGAUCGGUAGCUGGUCUGAGAGGAUGAUCAGCCACACUGGGACUGAGACACGGCCCAGACUCCUACGGGAGGCAGCAGUGGGGAAUUUUGGACAAUGGGGGCAAGCCUGAUCCAGCCAUGCCGCGUGAGUGAAGAAGGCCUCGGUUGGUAAGACGUCUUUCGGUCCGGGAAGAAGUACGCAUAGGCUAAUACCCUAGUCGUGGA